UACGUAGGCAGCGAGCGUUGUUCGGAAUUACUGGGCGUAAAGAGUGUGUAGGCGGUGUUCUCAGUCUGUUGUGAAAUCUCCCGGCUUAACUGGGAGGGUGCAGCGGAAACUAGAAUGCUAGAGGGUGGGAGAGGUAAGCGGAAUUCCUGGUGUAGCGGUGAAAUGCGCAGAUAUCAGGAAGAACACCCGUGGCGAAGGCGGUUCUCUGGGACGGUACUGACGCUGAGACGCGAAAGCGUGGGGAGCGAACAGG
rnacentral:rRNA from 1 species